CGUAAUAGCUCACUGGUCGAGUCGGCCUGCGCGGAAGAUGUAACGGGGCUAAACCAUGCACCGAAGCUGCGGCAGCGACGCUUAUGCGUUGUUGGGUAGGGGAGCGUUCUGUAAGCCUGUGAAGGUGGCCUGUGAGGGUUGCUGGAGGUAUCAGAAGUGCGAAUGCUGACAUAAGUAACGAUAAAGCGGGUGAAAAGCCCGCUCGCCGGAAGACCAAGGGUUCCUGUCCAACGUUAAUCGGGGCAGGGUGAGUCGACCCCUAAGGCGAGGCCGAAAGGCGUAGUCGAUGGGAAACAGGUUAAUAUUCCUGUACUUGGUGUUACUGCGAAGGGGGGACGGAGAAGGCUAUGUUGGCCGGGCGACGGUUGUCCCGGUUUAAGCGUGUAGGUGUGUGUUCCAGGUAAAUCCGGUUCACUUUAACACUGAGGCGUGAUGACGAGGCACUACGGUGCUGAAGCAACAAAUGCCCUGCUUCCAGGAAAAGCCUCUAAGCAUCAGGUAACAUCAAAUCGUACCCCAAACCGACACAGGUGGUCAGGUAGAGAAUACCAAGGCGCUUGA
rnacentral:rRNA from 1 species